GGUCAAUCAUACAUUGCCAGCAAACAGAAAUAACAGGGAGUGGGCGGGAAUUGUUGCUCAGAUCAUUGAGAAUGAGCCUGGCUCUCCAGACACACUGACUGGAUGACCCACCAGCUUCCAGAGCGUGGAGAAGACGUUCUCUGCUGUGGAAGCUGUUUGAUUUGUGGUAUUUGCUCACAGUGACCCUAGGAAAUUACAUCACCCACGUCAUCCAAAAGGAGGAAGGUUUGUUCUGGUUCAUAGUUUACAGGAUUUUGUUUUGAGGUUAAAUGGCUUCAUUGCUUCUGGGCAGGACCAUGGGGAUCAUGGAUGGAGCAACACAGUUCACCUUGUAACAACUGGGAAGCCGGGAAAGAGCAAAGGACAAGCCUCCUUCUCCAUAUCACCAUCUUCAAAGAAAGGAAGCGGCCAGCAAUCUAUUUCCCACAUGGGCAUCAAUUACUACAGUCAGAGACCUUUACAAGGACAAGGUCUCCACGACUACUUCAGACACGGACAUGUGUCCCAUGUUUCCCUUCAAAGGUUGAUGCCUCUUGUGCGUCUCUGACACAAGGCACCAGGUGUGUCCAGUCUGGUAGUUCACAGAGAACUCCACCACAUGUUAUGCCCUCAUAUGUAAUGGAACCCAAAAUUGUUACUGUUCUCUACUGAGGAGGAAGUAUUAUCCACCUCUCAUAGCAGUUACUCUCUCCAUUUGACUGAGGUACUCAUAUGGGCAGUACCUAUCCAUGGAUGAGUUUGCAUUUGGUGUAUCCAAUCUUCAAGAUAGUCUGGUCCUUCUUUGCAUACAAAUUGCACACUGGUGAUCCUCCUGCUUCUGCCUCCUCCAGCAAAUCCUGUGCACCACCUUGAGUUCCAAACAAGAUAAGUGUUGACUUUAGAGUGUAUCCAUGCAGUCUUUGGAUUGUUUGUUUGUUUGUUUGUUU
rnacentral:lncRNA from 1 species